GAUGAACGCUGGCGGCGUGCCUAAUACAUGCAAGUCGAGCGAACAGACGAGUAGCUUGUUCCUGUGACGUUAGCAGCGGACGGGAGAGUAACAUGUGGAUAACCAACCUAUCAGACUGGGACAACUACGGGAAACUGGAGCUAAUACCGGAAAAUAUAAUGCACCGCAUGGUUCAAUAGUGAAAGAUGGUUUUGCUGUUACUUAAAGAUGGAUCCGCGCCGCAUUAGCUUGUCGGUAAGGUAACGGCUUACCAAGGCAACGAUGCAUAGCCGACCUGGGAGAGUGUUCGGCGACGCUGGAACAGGGACACCGGCCAGACUCGUACGGGGAGCAGCAGUAGGGAAUCUUCCGAGAUGGGCGUAAGCUAGACGGAGCAACGCGGCGUGGGUGAAGAGGGUCUUCCGACGGGAAGGCACUGUGAUUAGGGAAGAACAAAUGUUUUUGUAGCAAUACACGUCAUGACGGUACCUGGUCAGAAAGCCACGGCUAACUCCGUG
rnacentral:rRNA from 1 species